rnacentral:rRNA from 1 species
GUGCUUAACACAUGCAAGUCGAACGAUGAAGCCCAGCUUGCUGGGUGGAUUAGUGGCGAACGGGUGAGUAACACGUGAGUAACCUGCCCUUGACUCUGGGAUAAGCGUUGGAAACGACGUCUAAUACCGGAUACGAGCUUCCACCGCAUGGUGAGUUGCUGGAAAGAAUUUUGGUCAAGGAUGGACUCGCGGCCUAUCAGCUUGUUGGUGAGGUAACGGCUCACCAAGGCGACGACGGGUAGCCGGCCUGAGAGGGUGACCGGCCACACUGGGACUGAGACACGGCCCAGACUCCUACGGGAGGCAGCAGUGGGGAAUAUUGCACAAUGGGCGAAAGCCUGAUGCAGCAACGCCGCGUGAGGGACGACGGCCUUCGGGUUGUAAACCUCUUUUAGCAGGGAAGAAGCGAAAGUGACGGUACCUGCAGAAAAAGCACCGGCUAACUACGUGCCAGCAGCCGCGGUAAUACGUAGGGUGCAAGCGUUGUCCGGAAUUAUUGGGCGUAAAGAGCUCGUAGGCGGUUUGUCGCGUCUGCUGUGAAAUCCCGAGGCUCAACCUCGGGUCUGCAGUGGGUACGGGCAGACUAGAGUGCGGUAGGGGAGAUUGGAAUUCCUGGUGUAGCGGUGGAAUGCGCAGAUAUCAGGAGGAACACCGAUGGCGAAGGCAGAUCUCUGGGCCGCUACUGACGCUGAGGAGCGAAAGGGUGGGGAGCAAACGGGCUUAAAUACCCUGGUAGUCCACCCCGUAAACGUUGGGCGCUAGAUGUGGGGACCAUCCCACGGUUCCCGUGUCGUAACUAACGCAUUAAGC